rnacentral:lncRNA from 1 species
UAAAAUGUACUAGGGGCGCGCUCUUUGCAGUGGCGGUUCUAGGCCAUUUCAACUGGGGGGGCCAAGCUGGGGCCAGUUGUACUGUUAGAGGGGCCAGUUACAUUAGACGUUAUUGUUGUCAUAUCGUUUUCUUCACUGCAUUGCAGGCAUUAGCAGGCAAAAGACCAUGUUCAUAAUCAUCAUCGUUGGCACCUUCUUUCCUCUUCUGCCAUCUCCUGCCUCUUUUUUGCCUCUGUCAUCUUCUCUCUUCCACUGAUUAAAGCUGUGGCCGUCAAUGGCUCUCUUUCUCUGAUUAAAGCUGUGUGGCCUUCAAUGGCUCUCUUUCUCUCCUCCUCUCUCUAUUCCUGCUUCGCCUCUCCAGUUUCUUUAUGUUUUGCAAUUUUGAUCUGUUGUUUUUUUAUCCUGGUCUUCUUGUUGUCGUACCCUCUUCGAUCUGUAGUUUUUAUCCUGCUCUUCUUGUCGUCGUAUCCUCUUCGAUCUGUAGUUUUUUUUAUCCUGGUCUUCUUGUUGUCGUACCCUCUUCGAUCUGUAGUUUUUAUCCUGGUCUUCUUGUUGUCGUACCCUCUUCGAUCUGUAGUUUUUAUCCUGGUCUUCUUGUUGUCGUACCCUCUUCGAUCUGUAGUUUUUUAUCCUGCUCCUCUUGUUGUUGUACCCUCUCCAGCUGUCUGUCCAUCGAUAACAGUCUUUCUUCCUUCUUCCUCCUGAUUUGUUGUUGUUGUUCUUCUAUCCGUUCUCUUUCCCCCUUCAGUAUUUCUAGCCUCUUCUCUUCAUUCAUAUUGAGCCGUUCCUAUGCCUCUGCUUGUAAAUCUUCCAGCAGGCUGUAGUGGAGCGGGUCGAGAGCUUCAAGUUCCUCGCUGUCCACAUAACUAAGGAAUUGUCAUGGUUCACACACACCAACACAUUCGUGAAAGAGAGCAUGACAACCCCUUUUCCUCCUCAGUAGCCUGAAAAUAUUUGUCAUGGGCCCUGAGAUCCUCAAAAGGUUCUACAGCUGCACCAUUGAGAGCAUCUUGACUGGCUGCAUCACCACUUGGUAUGGCAAUUGCUCGGCAUCCAACCGCAAGGUGCUACAAAGGGUAGUGCGCACGGCCCAGUACAUCCCUGGGGUCAAGCUUCCUGCCAUCCAAGGACCUCUAUAUCAGGCGGUGUCAGAGGAAGGCCCUAAAAAUUGUCAAAGACUCCAGCCACCCAUGUCAUAGACUGUUCAUUCUGUUACCGAACGGCAAGCGAUGCCAAUUCACAAAGUCUGGAACCAACAGGACCCUGAACAGUUUCUACCACUAAGCCAUAAGUAGCUAGUUAAAUAGUUAACCAAUAGCUACGCGGACUUUCUGCAUUGACCUUUAUUUGCAAUAACUCUUUUGUCACGUUCUGACCAGUAAAGGGGUUAUUUGUUAUUGUAGUUUGGUCAGAACGUGGCAGGGGGUGUUUGUUUUAUGUGGUUCGGGGUUUGUUGGGCUAUGUGUUUAUGUAGAGGGGUGUUGGUUUAGAGUGUUCCGGGGUUUUUGGGCUAUGUUCUAUGUUAGUAUAUUUCUAUAUUCUAGUCUUUCUAGUUCUAUGUUUAGUUUAUUGAUUUGGCCUUCAAUUGGAGGCAGCUGUUCCUCGUUGCCUCUGAUUGAAGGUCCUAUGUAUAGGGGGUGUUUUGUAAUUGGAAUUGUGGGUAGUUAUUUCCUGUUUAGUGUAUGUUGCACCUGACGGGACUGUUUAGUGUCGUUCGUUUGUUUUUGUAUACGUUGUUUGUUUUCCUUCUUCACCAUAAAAAAAAAGAAGAUGAGUAUACAUGUUCCCGCUGCAUUUUGGUCCAAUUCAUACGACACCCGUAACAUCUUUUGACUCAUCACAUGUGCCGGUGUUACUGUUUUAUCUUUCCUGUUGCCUAGUCACUUUAUCUCUACCUAUAUGUACAUAUCUACCUCAAUGACCUAUACAGCCUAGUUAUCGUUACUCAGUACUGGUACCCCGUGUAUACAGCCUAGUUAUCGUUACUCAGUACUGGUACCCUGUGUAUACAGCCUAGUUAUCGUUACUCAGUACUGGUACCCUGUGUAUACAGCCUAGUUAUCAUUACUCAGUACUGGUACCCUGUGUAUACAGCCUAGUUAUCAUUACUCAGUACUGGUACCCUGUGUAUACAGCCUAGUUAUCAUUACUCAGUACUGGUACCCCGUGUAUACAGCCUAGUUAUCAUUACUCAGUACUGGUACCCUGUGUAUACAGCCUAGUUAUCAUUACUCAGUACUGGUACCCUGUGUAUACAGCCUAGUUAUCAUUACUCAGUACUGGUACCCCGUGUAUACAGCCUAGUUAUCGUUACUCAGUACUGGUACCCCGUGUAUACAGCCUAGUUAUCGUUACUCAGUACUGGUACCCCGUGUAUACAGCCUAGUUAUCAUUACUCAUUGUGGAUGUAUUCCUCGUGUUAUAUUUUUCUAUUUUUCUAUUAUUUCUCUAUUUUUCUCUCUGAAUUGUUGGGACUGUCAGUAGUAAGCGUUUCACUGUUAGUCUAUAGCUGUUGUUUAUGAAGCGUAAGAUAAACAAUGUUUGAUGUGAAUAAUUCUACAUGUAAUUUCACCGCCCGUGCUGUUAGUUUGGCGGUAACACUAAAUCCUCUCGGGCACCAUUAGACCUGUCUGAGCACGUAUGUCUCACAGAGUCUGUGUCGUGAGGAGGUACAGUAUCUGCUGGAGCCAGACCUUGUUGGAGGAUUUCCACAGGAAAGCUGCAAUCAGUCCAGUAAGAAAACAGGAUAUGAAGUGCAGUGAAGUGCAUUGACUGAGGAAGUGAGAUACUCAGCACAGGAAGUUGAAUCUUAACUUAUUGUUGUAUAGAGGUUUACAAACAACACAACGCAUAACUGACGUAGAGAGAUCUUAUCACAGCUUACAGUAUGUAGAAACAAGUUAUAAAGACUAGUAGAGAGCAGAGCCUUAUACGUGUAUCUGUCUUAUGGAUCCAAUACAGGGUUUCAUAUAAGGAAUUAUGUCCUGUUAAGAAAGUCUACGUGAAGUGUUGUGUUUUUAUCUGCAUACUCACUGUAUGUUUAGCUCAUAUCAGCACCAUUUACAAUCAACACCACCAUCAUAGAGAUCCUAUUAAACCCUAAAAGUUCCAGAAUGCGAUGAAAAUGGCAGCCAUAUUGGCCAGGGAGAAAUCCAAACCAGUUUAAUUGGAAUGAAUUUCAGUAGAGGCAGAAGCCUGAUUUGACUUAUGCAGGAAAAUAAAAGUAUGGCAUGUGAUAUAAAAUAUUGUGUAUUAGAAGUAAAAUAUUGCCAUAAAAUUAUAAAUACAGUUCAUGCAGGUUUUAUAUAAAAGUUAUAAAUACC